rnacentral:rRNA from 1 species
AUUGAACGCUGGCGGCAUGCCUUACACAUGCAAGCCGAACGGUAACAGGUCUUCGGAUGCUGACGAGUGGCGAACGGGUGAGUAAUACAUCGGAACGUGCCCGAUCGUGGGGGAUAACGAAGCGAAAGCUUUGCUAAUACCGCAUAAGAUCUAAGGAUGAAAGCAGGGGACCGCAAGGCCUUGCGCGAACGGAGCGGCCGAUGGCAGAUUAGGUGGUUGGUGGGAUAAAAGCUUACCAAGCCGACGAUCUGUAGCUGGUCUGAGAGGACGACCAGCCACACUGGGACUGAGACACGGCCCAGACUCCUACGGGAGGCAGCAGUGGGGAAUUUUGGACAAUGGGCGAAAGCCUGAUCCAGCCAUGCCGCGUGCAGGAUGAAGGCCUUCGGGUUGUAAACUGCUUUUGUACGGAACGAAAAGACUCUUUCUAAUAAAGAGGGUCCAUGACGGUACCGUAAGAAUAAGCACCGGCUAACUACGUGCCAGCCGCCGCCGUAA